UAUAUCAACCAAAAAAGCCGUCAUAGCGGACAAAUAACCACGGUGUCCUACCUUUUUUAUUGCAGAAAAAAAAUUGUUAUGAAGUUUUGAAUCUUUUUUGAAAGUUAUUUGAAAAUCGCCAGUGUAGUUUUCGAGAAACUGAAUUUCAGCCUUUCCAAAGGCUAAAAUGCGUCUUAAAGGCUGAAACUCAGUUUCUCGAAAACUACACUGACGAUUUUCAAAUAACUUAUAUAAGUUAUAAUAACAAAUAAAAAAUAUUCAAAACUUGAUAACAAUGUAUUUUCUGCAAUAAAAAGGUAGGUCACCGUGGUUAUUUGUCCGCUAUGACGGCUUUUUUGGUUGAUAUA